GACGAACGCUGGCGGCGCGCCUAACACAUGCAAGUCGAACGAGCGAGAGAGAGCUUGCUUUCUCAAGCGAGUGGCGAACGGGUGAGUAACGCGUGAGGAACCUGCCUCAAAGAGGGGGACAACAGUUGGAAACGACUGCUAAUACCGCAUAAGCCCACAGGUCGGCAUCGACCAGAGGGAAAAGGAGCAAUCCGCUUUGAGAUGGCCUCGCGUCCGAUUAGCUAGUUGGUGAGGUAACGGCCCACCAAGGCAACGAUCGGUAGCCGGACUGAGAGGUUGAACGGCCACAUUGGGACUGAGACACGGCCCAGACUCCUACGGGAGGCAGCAGUGGGGAAUAUUGCACAAUGGGGGAAACCCUGAUGCAGCGACGCCGCGUGGAGGAAGAAGGUCUUCGGAUUGUAAACUCCUGUUGUUGAGGAAGAUUAUGACGGUACUCAACAAGGAAGUGACGGCUAACUACGUG
rnacentral:rRNA from 1 species